rnacentral:lncRNA from 1 species
CAGUAAACACAUGAAAUAAAUUGCGGGAAAGUAAAUAGCGGAAAAUAAAAGGUGUGUGUGUGACCACACAGCGUGGUUAAGUGUGGUCGGAUCCCUCCCUUACUCCUGCUUGGUUGCUCAAUUAUUUCUCUCUUCUAGGAUUUAGACUAUUGAAAAUAGGUGCGAUUUAUUUAUUAUCUGUGCCUAUUUCUAUUACAAGCUUCUACAAAGCCUAGUUAAAGGUUGCCCUACUUGACCAG